CCCGCCGGAGAAGCUGCAUAAGCUCUCCUUCUUCAACUGGUGGAUGUUCACCAUCUUCCUCGGCAUCCUCUUCUCCACCACCGUCCUCGUCUACCUCCAGGACAACGUCAGCUGGACCGUCGGCUACGGCAUCCCCACCCUGGGCCUCAUGGUCUCCGUCGCCGUCUUCCUCUCCGGUACGCCGCUGUACCGCCACAAGGUGCCCCAGGGUAGCCCCCUCGCCACGAUGGGGAGGGUCGUCGCCGCCGCCGUGUGGAAGUGGCGCGUCCCGCUCCCCGCCGACUCCAAGGAGCUCCACGAGCUCGAGCUCGAGCACUACACCACCCGCCGCGGGUUCCGCAUGGACGCGACGGUGUCCAUGGCGUUCCUGAACAAGGCGGCGGUGAAGCCGGGCGAAGGAGGAGGAGGAUCGGUGGCGCGGCUGCCCGGGUGGACGCUGUGCACGGUGACGCAGGUGGAGGAGACGAAGCAGAUCGUGAAGCUGGUGCCGCUGCUCGCCACAAUGGUGGUGCCGUGCACGCUGGUGGCGCAGGCGGGCACGCUGUUCGUCAAGCAGGGCGUGACGCUGGACCGCCGCAUCGGGAAGUUCCACGUGCCGCCGGCGAGCCUCGGCGCGUUCGUGACGGCGACGAUGCUCAUCUGCAUCGUGCUCUACGACCGGUUCCUCGUCCCCGCCGUGCGCCGGCGGACCAAGAACCCGAGGGGGAUCACGCUGCUGCAGCGGAUCAGCCUGGGGAUGCUGCUCCAGAUCGUGACGAUGGUGGUGACGUCGGUGGUGGAGAGCCAGAGGCUGGGGUACGCGAGGAGGCACGGGCUGGUCGCCACCGGCGGGCAGCUGCCGGUGACGAUCUUCAUCCUGCUGCCGCAGUUCGUGCUGCUGGGCGUCGCCGACGCGUUCCUGGUGGUGGGGCAGAUCGAGUUCUUCUACGACCAGGCGCCGGAGAGCAUGAAGAGCCUCGGGACGGCGAUGUCGCUGACGGCGUACGGCGCCGGGAACCUGCUGAGCAGCGCCAUCCUCGCGGCCGUCGAGCGGGUCACCGGCGGCGGCAAGGGGAGGACGCCGUGGGUGACCAACAACCUCAACGCCUCGCGCCUCGACUACUACUACGCGUUCCUCGCCACCCUCGCCGCCGCGAACCUGCUGGCGUUCGUCGUGCUCAGCUGCAAGUACUCGUACCGCGUCGAGUCCACGGAGACCAUCGACGUCGACGUCGCCAUGGACAACGUCGCGCAGGGCGGCGGCGUGGUGACGGUCAAAUCAGAGGCAGCCCCAAUGGCAUGACAGCACUUCCGGAAUUGUAUCCUGUCUAUUCCCGUCUGGAUUCUGAAGUUGCAAUGUAAUGAAGAAACGGUGAUGAUACAUAUUAGCACUUUAAAAAUGUUAAAUGAAAAUUUUAUUUACUCGUUCUGUAAAGGAACGGUAAUACGGACAAUAUUCACAGCUUCACACAAUCGCACUAGUAGCACCAUCGUUUCUCUUAUGCCUAUACUUAAGCUAAAAUGUGAAUUUUAAAGCUUCACUUUAGAGUUGAUUUUGUGUUUUUUUUAAAUAUAGUUUAUUUUACAGUAUUUGCUUUCGAAUCGAUAAGGACACGUCGCAUAAAUUAUUUUUUAAUUUGUUAAUAAACGAUUCGCAUGAACGUAAGUAUAAGUAAAAGGAUGGAACCAUAAAUAUCUAGGAGUAAUUUGGUGACAACGAUGGAGAUGCACUAUUACAGUCAUGACGCUAGAGGCAACUAACUCCAUCCAUCCUAAAAUAUAGCAAUAUAGUACAUGAUGGGACAUGUAUGUCCAUAUUCAUAGUACUAUGAUAUAUCACAUCUCAUAUUAGAUUGUUAUAUUUUGCGACGGAUGAAGUAUUUGAGAGAUACUAGCUCCGUUUUUUAAUAGAUAACGCCGUUGACUUUUUCUCACAUGUUUGACCAUUCGUCUUAUUUAAAAAAUUUACGUAAUUAUAAUUUAUUUUGUUAUGAGUUGUUUUAUCACUCAUAGUAUUUUAAGUGUGAUUUAUAUCCUAUAUAUUUGUAUAAAAUUUUUGAAUAAGACGAAUAGUCAAACAUGCGAGAAAAAGUCAACGGCGUCAUCUAUUAAAAAAACGGAGGGAGUAUAUCAUAUCGGCCGAUGAUGUAAGCUAGUAGCUGAUCCUUUCAAAUUAUUUAUCUUUCUAGGUUUGGACUUAAGUCAAGUAUUUCCAUCUUUUUACCAUCAGAUAUAUGUUUUAACAACAUGGAAAUUAUGUACCACCAGAAACAAGGCACGCUUAUAUAUAACGUGUUCAUAUGACUAGGUACACUCUAACUCAACUGGAUUGACCGUAGUCAGCUCGCCACCUGAGCUGAAAGCAGGCACAAUAUUGUCGAUCUCGGAUACUUCGCUACUGUAAAUUGACGAACAUGACAUCAAGACGAGAAAUCUAAGGAAUAAGUCCAGUUUGACUCCCUUAACUAGUGACCGAAUUUGAUCUGUAUCCCUAAACCACAAUACCGGAUAUCUUCGACCCCCAAACUAUUGAAAUCGGUGCAAUUUGACUCCCUUGGCGGUUUUGGAGGGCAGUUUCACUUAUGUAGGGCCCGCUCACAUAUGGGACCCAUAUACGAUCCUCCCUUUCCUUCCCUUAUUCCUCCUUCCUUUCUCUCUCUCCCCCUUACCUUCCCUUCUUCCUCCUCCCUUUCUCUCCCUUACCGUUGGUGCACCAGUAGUUCAGCAGCGGUGCCGGGACCGGGCCGUCGUUUGUUGUUUGUUGGGAGGACGCCAAGUAGGGCGACGUCGAGGAGCGAGACGGUGGCCUCUCCCCGGAGGUCCUAGUGGCGUGGGCGCCGAGCCAGCCGCGGAAGGAGACGCGGAUCUAGGUGUUAGAGACGGCGGCGCGGAGAGGAGGAGGGCAGAAGGGGGAAGGUGGGGCCGGGACUCCGGCGAGCGGGGCAAUCCCCGUUCACGUCGCUCCUCUCGACCUUCGUUGCAUGGGAUGCUACCAUCGGUUGCCCACUCAUCCGCGCCAAGCUCGAUGCCAUGGGGGCCACAUCUACCACCAGCGGGGCCCAAUGAGGCACGCGGGGGCAAGGACAUGAGGGCGCGCCACGUUGGGGUGCUCGUCAAGAUGUGCUGGUGUGGACGUGGAUCCCUGACGCGCUUGUUUGGAUUUCUGCAGGAAGUCGAAGCUGUCCCGCCGGCGCCACUCCAGCACCUGCCCGCCACCACUCCAAAACAUGCUCCUCGCACACGACUGAAGAAGGGGUAGAGAGAGGGAGAGAGGAGGGAGACAGAGGGAAGAGUAAGAAGGGAAGGAGAGAGAGGAUGACAUUUGGGUCCCACAUGUUUGUGGGUCCACAAUUUUUUUUUGAAUAACAAGUGGGUCCACAAUAUAUAUAUAUAUAUAUAUAUAUAUAUAUAUAUAUAUAUAUAAGUUCUAAUGACAUGUAAGCGCCACGUCAACGCCACGUUGUACGAACACUAGGUCAAUACUACCACGUAGGCGCUACGUCAGCGAAGCUGCCCUCCAAAACCGCAAAUGGAGUCAAAUUGCGCCCGUUUUAAUAGGUGAGGAUCAAUAUAUCCGGUAUUGUAGUUCAAUGAUAGGAAUCAGAUUCGGUCACUAAUUAAGUGAGUCAAAGUGGGCUUAUUCCGAAAUCUAAAGUAAGCUUAUUUCAUAACAAAAUUCAGCUCAGUUACUCUUGGGUCAAUAAGCUAGCCUAAUAAACCGGGAAGAAAAGUCAGAAAACAAUCUCGCUAGCUUCCACCUCUCAUGCUGCAGCAUGCUUAUAAAGCAAAGACAAAUCUAGGGUUGAUUUAGCCUUCAUACUCAAUGGAGUUAUUCCUAUAUGCUCCGCUGAGAUAUGUUGUUUGUUUCACUUUCAAUCGGUUAAACGUUGACUGAACAGUCGUCAUCAUCACGAUGUAAUUUCUACCUUUCAAUCGGUUAAACGUUGACUGAACAGUCGUCAUCAUCACGAUGUAAUUUCUACCUGGAAAGGAGGCGUCGAAGGAGCUUAAUGAAACAUAUCAAAUACAAUGCAAUUAGACAAUAUGAGUGAACUCUUCAUCCAAAUAAAUCCUUAUCCAUGACCCAAAAAUCAUUCUCUUCCAUUAUCUGAAGAAGAUUAGCUCACCAAGUUAGUAGAAGUGUUCAUCAUCUAUCCUCGACUAGUUCAAAAGCAGCAAGACCACCUUCCCACGGUGUGUAAAUGAACCCCAAAACAGAAAAAAAACUCCCAAAUAACACGCCACAAAAGGUAUGGUAGGUGUGGCUUGACAAUAUUACAUUCACUGGUUGUUAGGUUAAGCAUUAAACAAUCACAUGUCUCAGCAUCUGCCACUAUAAAAGUUCAUUUUUAAGGACAGUCAUAUAGAAACUUUAAUUUUCUGAGUCUAAUUAUUGGUCUUGAUAAUGUAUCCAAACAUUUACAAUCGUUAUUUUUCAUGAUCCACACAUACUGACUAUGACCUAUAUGAAUAAUGAGACGACCAAUCAAGAAAACUGUAGUAAAGAAUAAUUAGGCAAUUUGUUUUGUUGGUUUGUUGUGGGAUAUGUUAUAUGUUAAUCAAGUUAGUCCUUCUUAUUGGAGUUGAAGAGAUGACAUAAAAAAUGUUUCUAUGUGAACAAAGUAACAUUAAGAAGAUAACCCGUUAAACUCUUUUUUUCUUAUAGUAAAGCGUUCAACUUUGUGUUGCGACUCCAAAGCUUUAUUAUGGCACAAAAACUUUACACAAGGCUCUAAUUAUUCUUUUACUAUAAAUCUUAAUUUGUUAUGAUGAUGAUUUUUAAAACUAACUUUUAACUUUUAAUUUGUUGAGUUGGACGACAAGUUCAGUUAUGUAAAGCUCCAAGGUCACUGAUAGAAGUGAGCAACUGUUAGUAUUUUCAUAUUUACUUUUCAAUGAUUUAUAUCCUAAAUGGCAAUUGCGGAGUUCAUUACAUAUAUAUCAAUAGCUAAACUUGUUAUAUGUAUUACAGGAUUGAUCAGUUGCUUAAGCAUCAUCUCUUAUCGCCCUUAUAGGAAACUAUGGCUCAAAAAUAAAAACAUUUAAAGGAUAUUAUUUUUUUCUAAAUAAUAUGGUUCAUUGCAUGUUGAGUUUUUUGUUACAACUAUAUAAGAUAUAUAGUUCUUAUUGAUGCGGCUUAAUACAUGUUGAUUUUUAUAGUAAUGACUAUAUUAAGUGCGCUAUAAAUGCAAAUGACAUAUAAAUGAUUAUGAUUAAAACAUAAGAAAGAUUGAACUAUUAUUAUUUUCUAUAUUAUGGCUCACUGCAUAUUGAGCUUUUGAUUAUAUCUACUAUUAUAAAAAUUGAAUAUAUUUUUGCCGUCAUUCGUAUUUUGGUAUGUCAUCCGUAUUUGAGUCAUUUUUUAAGUUCGUUCGCUUUUGAAAAUGUAGAUCCGUGUUUGAGUCAGAUUUUAAGUUCGUUUGCUUUUAAAAAUACAAAAGAAGUCAUACAAGAAAUUUCUUUAAAAGAACUUGCAUGCUAACUUGGGAUUAAAGUCGGACUCCUAACUGCAGCUCAUGUUUUUUUAAAAAAAAUAUCCAAGCGAAUUCCUGAAUUUCAUUCUAUCUAAACCGUAUAACAAUAAUAAGAUUAAAAUAACAUUCACCCAUUGCAACGCACGGGCAUUUUUCUAGUAACUAUAUAAAUAUGAUAUAUCAAUAAUACUCUAGCACAUCAUAUCUUCAAAGCAGGUUGCGGAGGACGGUCCUAUUUAUAUUUCUAUAAAAGUGUACGGAUGUUUGACAAGUGGAAAAUAUCCAAAUCCCCCUUAAAAAUCUCUUUAGAGUUUUUAAUGCUCAUGAGUUAUAUUCCUAUUUAAAUACUUUUUAUCCUGGUAAAGGGAUUUCUUCUUGGACCUCUUUAAGGAAUACCUACCUUUUUCCCUUUUCCAUGUCUAGAAUCAUCGAAGAGAAAUUAUAUUGACAAUUCAACGUAUCUUUAAACCUUUCCACAAGCAUGCAUUUCUUGCUUGCCUUACUUUGAGUAGUCCGCGUGCUCUGGACUGUGUUAACGACCAAGUUUGGUAAUACCAGCAUCGGAGAUGGAGAUGGGAUCGAAGCGGAAUCGAAGAUGAUGGUUGUUGCGGAAACAGAGUAAAAUCGGCUGGAGUCCGGGUCGGCUACGACUGGGAUCGGCUAAGUCUGAGUUAGACUGGGUUAAGUGAUACAGCCGAUUCCGACAAUACGAUCUGUGUACGAUGUCGGGUUCGAGUUGAUGUGCUUCAAGAUGAUUGCCAUGCAUGGAUAGAGUCCUGGGAAGGCAAUUGUAUCUAUUAAUUAGGAUAUUUUAUGUAAAUUCCUUAGAGAUAUGUUUGGGCAAAAGUCUGCCGCAAAGACUUAUGGUAUCUUAGAGUUUGUUAGAAAUAGUAGUCGUGUCCGGUAUGGGCAUAUCUUGUAAUUUUCGGGUAUAAAUAGGCCCCGAGCCCUAUGUAAUUUUUAACACACGCACGUUCAAUACAAUUUCGGCGCAUCGCCACCUUUUGCUUUAGUUUUAUUUCGACGAGUUCUUACUUUCGGGUUGAGCUGCAUCGGUUUCGAUCUUCGACAAGAGGUAAAACUUGUUGUGAUGAUUUGCUUUCUCGGGAUUAGUGCUUCCAUCUCAUGAUACUCUAAUCUUGUUUAUGUGAUUCGUCAAGUUAUCAUAUAUCUUACGUAAUCUCUGGCAAUACCGUUAUCUAACCUACAAUUGGCCAACAUCUAUCGAGGAAGGCAGCCGAUUAGGUUAGAUGUCGAUGUUGAUUUAGAUUAUAUAAGAUAUCUACCACCCUAUGAAAUAUCCAGCGGCUUGAUUGUCUAGAUAUUGUUCUUCUUUUCAUACUUAAUGCUGCAUCAGUUGAGUUUGAUCUAUUAAGUCGUGCUUAGAAUCAUAAUCUCUAGCCUGCCUUUGGUUGCCGAUCAGGGUAGUAUCGGAGUUUCAGCCGAUCUUAUCUGAUUUAACUAUAUUUGUUUUAUAUGCUUAAUUGAUAUGUUAAGUCUGCCCUUUAUAUCAAGAUCUUGUCGCAUCUAAAUACGUUAAGCUUCUACUUGAGUAUUCUACUUGCUUUAAUAUCUUAAUAUAAAGUGGUAUCGGAGUAUUAGCCGGUACAUACUAGAUCUAUUUGAUCGGCUAUGCUAUAAACAUAUAUAGUCUUGUUAUUAAUGUAUAUUUUGAUCUAAGUGAUUUAUAUUGUCUCGGUGUGGUGACCGAUCUAUCCCAAUCACUUGAUUUAAGUAUACGUCGAUAUAAAGAUUAUAUAUUGUUAAUAUCUACAGCCGAUCGAGUAGAUUUAGUUUCUUGCUACUUAUUGAUGAUCGCCGAUCGAUUCACAUACGACAUCGGCUCGGAGAUAAAUGAUAUGUUAUCGGCACCUAGCCGAUCGGCUAUCAUUUAUAGAUUUGACCACGGUUUCUUUGUCUUUGUUUCUUGUUGAUUGCAGGAUCAAAUCAACUGGCACGCUCAUACAUCCGAAGGCGAGCUUUGGACCUGCACUGGAGUUAAGCAGAUCUCCCAGGCCUCGUGUUUUCUGUCAACAGACUGUUGAAUAGAUCAAAGUGGAAAGUGGAACCAUGCUUCCUCUCCUUGGUGAGUUUGCCCUCCUUCAGUUCUAGCAAGAUGAUGGUGACAAUAGAGUCACUAACUCUUCCAGGUGCUAGACAUCGUUACUACAUAAAUUGACAUAUGUGACAGUCCAACAUGACCCAUUUGAGAUGAUCUUAUCUCUAAUAGCUAUAGAGAUCCAAAGUUUGGAUCCAAAUUUCAGUCCUUUUCCAUCACAUCAACCUGUCAUACACACACAACUUUUAAGUCACAUCAUCUCCAAUUUCAACCAAAAUCUAAACUUUGGAUCCAACUAAACACAGCCUAGGUUGAAAAGUACCAUGUUUGAGAUAUAGCUAUAGGGAACGACCUAUCAUAGAUGUGACCUCACAUCUGUGCAUGAUGGGUGACAUUGUAUGAACCGUCCAAGAUGAGCUCUCACUCUAACAGAUCUAUUAUGAGAUGUUACGUAUGCACGGGUUUUAUCUUUAACCUAUUAGUCAUCAGAGAUGACUUAUUCACUUACAAACAACACUAACCUAUUAUGAGAUGUUACAUACGCGCUAUGGCGGGUCUUAUAUUGAACCCAUUAGUCAUCAGAGAAGACUUAUUCACUUGUAGACAACACUAACUCUUGUAAUUCCCGAUUCUCUCGUACUCUCCACCUCCUAGCUACUAGCAUCCUCCUCUCCACCUCGAGUUGCCCUGCGUUGACGACCUCAGUGCUAAUAUAGCCAAUGAAGCAGCACCCCAGUGGCCUUUGCUUAUGCUGCCCUACAGCAGGUAUUAUACUGCCCUGUAAAUUCUAAGUUGAAUAUCUAGGAACAGUAUUACUGAAUCUGGCAGUGAAACCUUCCUGUGCUUGUUUCUGGUUUGAUGGGAUUUGGUUGAAGCAAACAACCAUGACUGCUCUGCUUGUACAACUCUUGUCCCUCUGCUCAGCUUACUUGAAUGUGUACUGAUUGUGUGCUUCACCCAUCUAACUCUUUGAAUUUGCACUUGAGAUUGUUUUUUCUAGGAGCUUUCUGUUACUGAAUCUGUAGAUGGGCAUCUACUGCAUCAUCGCUUUCCAUAUGGAUUGUUGUGUUCAUGUCUUUCAAGUUUACAUGACUAUAUCUCCUAAUCUUAACAUGGAUAUGUAUAUCAUAUAAAAUUUCAGGCUUCAGAAAUUUUUUUGAACAAAUAAUUUCAAGCAUCAGCUAUGCUUCAAGUCAUUGUAUGAAGUAUGAAACUUCAGCCAUCAUUUAACAGUUAACAUUUUGGUGCUAAACAUAUUAACUAUAUUCUUUAAAAGCUUACAAUUAUUAUGUCUACUACUCUUGGUAAAUAUUCCCUACCUAGCUUCUAUAUUGUGUUGCUAAGCCACAUAUAACAUUUUGGUUGCUAAACAACUUCUACUACUGGAUGUUCUUAGAAGACAAAGAGGUGCGUAGAGAUGAUUUUGUGCUUGUGGAUUGUAAAACGCCAACUGACACACAUAUGUAUGUCCUAGCAGACACUACUUCUCGUUCACUGUUAUAUUGAGUCAGUAUUUCAGAUGGGAAGUUUGUGUGCCCUGAUAAAAUUCUGAAGGUGCAGUGCCAUGUGGACCAUCAGAAAGUAGAUUAUGGCAUUCUUGCGAAUCACUUUGUGCGCAUAGGAUCAACUUUAUACAUUAUCCCUUCAUCUCCAAGCAAAAAGAUGGGCACAAUUGAGAGCAGGUGCUAUUAGCCAGCUCUAAACAUAUUUUAAUGAGAUAAACGAUGAGAGAGAAGAGAAGCGGACUGCAGAUCUGUAGCCAGCUGCAACACGGACUCCAAGACACACCGUGUGUAUGACAGGUGGGACCAUAUAUUAAUAGUAUAGCAAGCAACUAUUGUAUAAAUUGACUAUUUAAUUGGCUAUAGAUGAAUUGGAGCUAGUAGUGGGCUGUACUAUUAGACUUGCUCUGAUGAUCAGGCUAUUACGGUCUGCUUUGUUCGAACAGAACGAUCUCCUGUAUCUUUCAGUUGAUUUCGUAGUUGACCAUGGUAGCAUUGUUGGUCUAGGUGACACUCUGAAGCAUGUGUUUAUCCUGCAAAUGGCGAAAUGGCAACACAUGGAGACAAUCCUCGAGUUCAUCUCUAGAUCGAACUAGGAGCAUCAUUGUUUCUGGGUUCGUUAGCCUAGGUGAUACUUCUUUCACAGUGACCGAUGCCAAGACCAGUGACUUCUUCUUUCCUUGACUUAAUGGAUCAAGAAUGGCGUGUCAUCGGGCCACGAGUACCCUAAAGCAUCUCCAACAGCCUCUCCAAUUUUGACUCUCCAAAUGUCUAUUUGGCCAACUCUCAAUCUAAUUUGGCAAGUCAAACUCUUUACUCCAACAGCCUCUCCAUCUAUCAUCUCCAUUACAAGUCAAUGAUAAAUGAAACCCAUAUGUCAGCCUCAUCAUACCUUCUUCCAUCUUUUUUUCCCCACCCAUGGCCAUACUACAUCUCCCUUGGCAUGCUGUUUGGGAGAUGUAUAUUCAUUGGAGGAUACAUCUACACACCAUGGGAAGGUGACCUUGCUACAUUCAAAUCAGAGGCACCCCCAAUGGCAUGAGAGCACUUCCGAAAUUGUAUCCUGUCUAUUCCCGUCUGAACUCUGAAGUUGCUAUGUAAUGAAGAAACGGUGAUGAUACAUAUUACUGUAGCACUUUAGACAUGUUUAAUGAAAAAUUUAUUUACUCUUUAUGUAAAGAACAGUAAUACGGACAAUAUUCACAGCUUCACAUAAUCACACUAGCAGCACCAUCAUUUCUCUUAUGCCUAUACUUAAGCUAAAAUGUGAAUUUUAAAACUUCAUUUUAGAGUUGAUUUUGUGUUUUUUUUUUCAAUAUAGUUUAUUUUACAGCAUUUGCUUUCAAAUCGAUAAGGACACGUCCCACAAACUAUUUUUUAAGUUGUUAAUAAAUGGUUCGCAUAAACGUAAGUAUAAACAAAACGAUGGAAUCGUAAAUAUCGAGAAAAUUGCAUAUCUAUCAUCGUAUAAGAUGGGAUUAGCUCAAAUACCAUUACUCAAAUGGGCUUCACUGAAAAAACAAUCCUCAACCAAGAUAUCUUUGCUCAAAUACCAUCCCAGGCGAAAAUGCCCCUUAGCACUUCUUCUUCCUCCCUCCCUCCUUCGUUGAAUAGGUUGACGGUAUAGAUGGCCAUAAGGCCCGCCCGGCACGGCCUAGCCCAGGCACUGGCUAGGCACUUCAUGCCCACGGGCUACACCUCAGGCCCAGGCACGGCCCACCAGUAGUCGGGCCGUUUCGUGCCGGCCUGAGCCCUGAAGACACGUGUGGCCCAUCGUGCCUUCUUUAAAAUAAGUUUAUUUCCCCUCCAUCCUUUUUGGGUUGUGACAUAUAUAUAGCUAAAAUAAGUCUAUUUUACGUCCCAACUCUUUAGGCCAUGCCAUAUAAUAUGUCUAUUAUUCCUCCCUAUUCUUUGUGCCGUACCACACAUAGGGUUGAAAUAAGUCUGUUUUGCAUCCCUGAACUUCGUGCCGGCCUAGCGUGCCGAGGUAGCAGCCCGGGCACGACACUGCUGUUGGGCCGGCCGGGCCAAAUCACUGGGCCUUGGGCCAUAUGGUCAUCUACCGUCGAGGGCAACGAGUCAGGGUGGGGCGGCAACGCGCGACGGCGGCCAGCGAGUCGGGGCGGGGCUAAAGUGUGUGACAAUGUCCGAGACUACACGAGCGACGACGGUGAGGCAGUGGAGCCGGUGGUGGUCGCCGGUGAACUAUUCAGCCACUGGAGGGAGGGAGAGAGGAAGAAGAAAACCUAAGGGGAAUUUCCAUCCAGGAAGGUAUUUGAGCAAAAACAUUUUGGUUGAGGAUGGUAUUCUAGCGUAGCCCAUUUAAGUAAUAGUAUUUGAGUGAAUCCCAUCUUAUGCGAUGGUAGAUAUGCAAUUUUCUCGUAAAUAUCUAAUUAGAUGACAAUGACAGAGAUGCACUAUUAUAGUCGUCGUUGCGCCAAAAGCAACUAACUGAUACUACAUCCAUCCCAAAAUAUAGUAACCUAGUACUUCCUCCGUUUUACAAUGUAAGUCAUUCUAGCAUUUCCCACAUUCAUAAUCUAGAUAGAUAUAUAUGUCUAGAUUCAUUAACAUCAAUAUGAAUAUGAGAAAUGCUAGAAUGACUUACAUUAUGAAACGGAGGGAGUACAUUACAUGAUGGGACAUAUAGGAAUAAGUUCACCUGCCGUCCCUCAACUUUACACAGAGUUUUUUUGACAUCCCUUAUCCACAUACUAGAAAUCUUCACCCCUAAACUAUACAAAACCGUCUAAUUUAGAUCCCAUGGCAGCAUUGAUGCCUAGUUUCGCUGACGUGGCAUCCUAGUCAGCACAAAUAAAAUAAAAUGUGGGGCCCACAUGUCAGUGAGAGAAAAUGAUGUGGGCCCCACAUCUCCUCUUUCUUUUCAUUUUCUCUUCUCUUCUCUCGAGCAAGCGUGGCGACAGAUGGGGGAGAGGCGGUCAGCGGCGGAGCAGGGGCGGUGGCCGGCAGAGCGGGCGCGACGGGGGCAGAGCUGGCCCAGCGGGCGGGCGAGCGCACGGAGAAGAAGCUAGGCGGCGGCCGGCGGAGCGGGCUGUCGUAGGCUCUCCGGACCUUCCAUUAUAAUUGAGAGAUGAAGUGAAUAAUUCAAGUCAUCAAACAAGCAUAAUGAAAUAUCCGACGCCUCGAGAGAGGAAUAUUGGAGAUAUUGCUAGGCCUUUAGCUUGCCAGUCAACUUCAGCCUGAGAUGUGCCCGUCAAACCACUCGAAGGCGGCGACCAGAUGUGUUACACAUUCAGGAGACUUGACAAAAAUGGCUAAAGUUCUACAACAUCUCAAAUAUUUCUAACUCAUACUCAUGUGAAUCUAGUUCCCAGGAUGUGCACUAGAUUCACACUUUCAUCUCAAGCAUGAUUAUACAUAGCAAACACAAAUAAGAUGAAAGCAUCUACUUUAGUUACAUUGGCCGACCGGCCAAAUAAAUAAUAGAACAGCGGAAGCUUGUCUACCCAAUCCACAAGCACACCGACUAGGGGUUUACCCAUUAUGUUCAAGUCCUAGAAGAAGCAGUCGAUAACCCGCAUCACUCAAAGACUAAGUCUAAAUCCUGCAAGCAAAAGUUAAUUCAACAGCAAGAGUCAGUACAUUAUUAGAAAUAAUGUACUGGCAAGCACCAAGACAAGCCUAACACCCUACUUGCAAGGUAUAUAAUCAAGGAAGGCAUAGUAUGGUUCUUUUUAGCAUAAAGCAAGUUUUAUUUGCAUAAAACACAUUCAAAACGGAUUUGCUUUCAAAUAAAAUUUCAGCAAGCUAGUACUUAGCAUAUGGGCAUCAAAGUAGGCAUUAAUCAUGUAUAAAUAUUCACCUCAUUGCCAUCCAUGGCAGCAAGGAGAUCAUUCUCAAAUCUCAUCACAAUUUGAAGGUAAAUUUCAGCAUUUAGGAGAAUAAACACAAGUCUAUACUCAAUACAUAUCCACACGCCGCUCAUGACCGCGAGCACGGCUAAUCGAUUAGUUUUAACUCUGCAGAGUUUGUACACUUUACCCACAUGAUGCGAAAUAAUAAUCAUGCAAGAGCAUGGCACGCGAUACAUAAGUACCCGAUUUAUUACCCGCAACAAAGCUUUUCCAAAAUUCAUGAUUUAGCCUUACACCAGCACGAUACGUGUUCCUCCAUCCUAGUCAUACUGGAAAUAUGACCUAGAACCGUUAAGUGGCGGGCCCACGCCUUGAACUUAACGCCGUGGUGGCGGACACAACGGGAACCCACCCACGUGGCACAAUACCGUUGUAUUGGACAGACUUAGUCACCUAAACUACCACGUCGGGGUAAAUAGGAAGUUCCUCUGAGUUAUCCGAACUCAUACACACCGGCCUACCAGAAUGUAAGGCUAAACCAUAAAUAAUUUACUAAGCUUGGGCUAUCCCAUACUAGCACAUGUGGUUGUACUGUAUACGAAAUGAACUGAUAUUGAGUGAAGUCCUUAGGUCGGUUUGGGCGCACUCUCCCCCUAUCGGUACACAACUAAUCACCAUAUGUGCACCACUUGAGGCCCAAACCUAAAAUCCAUGUUUUCCACCAUUUUAUUUAUCAAAAUCACAAGUAUUAAAGUUUUGUCCAGAUUAAUUAAAAAUCAAUUUUCAUGUUUGAAAUGAGCCCAUAAUGACAAGGAAGACCAUUCUAAGCAUGGCUAAGCUUUAUAGUAACCUAGUGUCACCAAAACUCAUAUAUAAAGUGGUAUAGCCAUAUUGUUCCUAAGGUUAGGAAUGAGGAAUAUGGAUAUAUGUGGAGUUAAGGUGAUAAUGCAAAUAAUAGGAGUUUAUCUAACAAGUUUAACAAAAUUUUAAUUUAUUAGUGUACAAUCGACAUGCAAGAUUUGCAAACAUUUUCAAUAACCUCCAAAAGAUAGGUUCAAAGUGAUCAAAGAGAGGGAGGUGGGACUUGCCUUGAAUCAGGAAAAUGUCAGCACCUAAAUCACUUCUUCACCGAUUAAGCAAUCAUCUAUACAAAGUAUACGUUAUGCAAUUAAACACCGAAAUAUGCGAAAAAUCCAAAAUGUUCUAAAAUGCAUGAUUUGUGCACAGAGAUCAGGUACUGGUAUAAAAUGAAUUUAGGUGAAAGAAUUUCUAUUUUAUCUCAUUUUAUUUGGGAGUUAUGAAUUUUAGAAGUUUCGUCGGUAUAGUGUAGGAUUUACUUAGUUACUAUUGUGAAAUGCUGUUGUAAGGUGAUUCUUAUUAAGUUUAUGUUUUCUGGGGUGAAGAUAUUUGUUUUCUAAGACUAACACAUUUGGUUUCAUAAUUUUUAGAGUUAAUAUGAAUUAUUUAUGUAUUUUACAAGUUUUAACGUGUUCUAGGCAUAUAGUCCCUAUGUGUACAUGGCUUUGGAGAUUUAGGUCCAGAACUUGCUCUAACUUGCUAGUGUUGUAUAAAAUGAGUAUUUUAGUUAACUAAUCUAAUCUUAGUUUAUAAAAUUUUAGUGUUCAAAUUACUUUACUUCACAUUUUAUAAGCUAGGGGAUGUUCUAUGUUAGAAACUUAAGAUAUCAAUCUGGAGAUUAUUAUAUGAGUUAAGGAUACUAAGUUUUGGUGGAAGGGGAUGGAUCUAUGCCUUCACUGGUUCAACAAGUUUUAUUUGGAUUUAUUUGGAGCUACCAAGCAUAUAUAUACUUUUUCAUAUGUAUUGUUUAACCACUACUAUGUGUUUAGUACCUAUUCUACCAAAUUAAGGUUCAGAGCCAUGGUCUGUAAGAGGGUGCUAUAAUUCACUCUACUAGGUUGAAGUAUAUUACUUACUGGUUCUAUAGAAAAUUUGGUUCACUUCAUUUAGACUAUAGAUGAAUUUUCUACAAAUGUUACAAUUUAAGGUAUGCUCCAUGUUGCUUAUAACUUACUUAAAUACUUAGGGGUUUUCAUUAUACUGUAAGUAUGUCUUUUUAUUUUAUAACAUUGAAGUGCACAACCCUAUGAUUCUACUGAAUUUGGGUUUACUCAAAAAGGAUCUAAGAUGAAUUUUAUAUAAACUUCUAAAGUUCAGCUUAUGUAAAACUAGUCAUUUUAAAGGUAAUAGUUUUAGAGGCAUUCGAUGUAUAGUAUGUAUACUAUUUCAUUUUGCUUUAUAGGAGAACAUAAGUUGGUGGAUCUGUAGAAACUGAGUUUGCUCCAAAAUGAGUUGAAAUGAAUUUUGUAUGCAUUUUAUAAAUUUGUGCAUGCUUUAUGUGUGAUUUAACUUGGAUAAAUUUUAGAGGCUAAAUUUGUACUGUGAGUGCAAGUUUUUAUUCCAUAACACUAAAGUUCACAAUUUGGUGAGUUGACAGAAAUUUGUAUCAUCUUAAAAUGAGCUAUAUUUAAUUUUAUAUGGAUUUUACAAGUUUUAGGUACUUUCCUUUUAUAAUUUCAGAUUUUUGUUUCCAAGGGGUCCACUGUCAGUGAAAGAUCAAUAUACAAAAAGAUCCCUGAGGUUUCUAAGAAUCAACCCGCAGACCUAGCCUCAUAUGUCAGUGAGUUGAAAAGUUGCACAUUAAUCCUUAUAGUUGUUUAAAUUCUCGAAACAAGGUCCCUGACUUCUUUUCUCAUGCACAGAGGCAGAACAGCCAUGGCUGAGCUCGAUCUCGAGCUCACCGGCGACAAACGAUGGCUCGUUUGGGGGUGCAACCAAAAUACAAAAUGAAGAUCAUGUUAUUGCGAUUCCAUUCCUCUACUUUUCUCGGUCAGUGGACAUCGGAGUAACGCCGGCGGCGAGUCCGAAAGGAGGAUGUUUUCGGGGGGUGAUGCAUGUGCUUCUACAAUCAUGUAUUGGUUAAUUGGGUGCAUACAUGUAUGUUCUACAGGCUGAAGGAUGCUCACCGAGAUGCUAGACAUGGCUGGGGUAGCUAGGUUGAUGACGGCGGCUCGUGUAACGGCUCGGCGGCGGCAAGAACCUCCGGGUGAACGGCGAUGGCUCAAUCAGCUCCAAGAACUAUCAUGCAUGUGUGUCCAUGAGGUUAGAGAGGCCCCAGAGAUGCUACUGAUGCAUGGAAUUGGGUUGGUACUCACCGGAGGGGGUGGAUUCGGCAACGGCGACGGUGACCGGAGGUGGAGAAGACGGUGGACGAUCUCCACACUCGUAGCACCAUCCUUCGAGAUUCUUGAGGGGAAAUGGAGAGGAGGUUGAGGCGAAGACGCUGGCGCGACAGCUUGGCCCGGCUUGGUCCAGAUAAGCGGGAACGGCGAUGAUGUCACUGCGGCGGUGCACAGAGCGCGCUCUAGAGCGACCAUGACAUGGCGGCGUUCCCGCUGCUGUAGAAGAUGAAAUGGAAUGGGAUCAAAACCAAAGUUGUUCGUCAUGGUGAGAUGAGAAUGGAACGAGUAUGAGUUAGAGAUGAAGAGGGCUCGACGACGGUUGGCGAUGUCCCUCUUCUUGGCGGCCGGCGACGAAAGAGAGGUGGAGAGGGAGAGCUGGAGCUUCCUCCCUCGGUUGGAUCGGUACUGGGAUGGUGGGUGAAGAAUGGUGACGCAGAUGGGUGGAGGUGAAGCCUCGGUUCGGCGCUGCCACGUCGAGGCCACGCGUCGUACACAGCCGGCGCCAAUCUCUCUCUCUCGGCUGUCUCUGGUCGGCUGCAAGAUUUGCACAGGGUGAGGACGAGCCAGAGUGGCUGCCAAGUGGGUCCAGGUCGUGGCAAACUAAGCUAGGGUGAGAGGGUUGGGCAGAAACGUGGGUGAACAAAAGGUUUGAAUGAUUUUAAGGAUUAUUUCUCUCUCCCACUUUAGUAUUUCAAUUAUUUAAUUUGUGGGUAGAAUAAUUUAGUGUGGAUUUUUCUGAAGGUAGAUGAAGAUACCUAGAUUCCAUUUUCUUUGGUUGCACUCAAAAAUUAUGGAUAGAUUACUCACAGAAAUUAGAGGAAUAUGGGUUCUUUGGAAACUAGUUCGAAUUUUUAGGAGACCUAAACAGAGAAGAUAAAUUCUGGAAAAAUUAUUUUUAUUCAUGAUAAAUUACCUAGCAUUUGAAUAAAUUAUUUUACUUAUACACUUUUAUGCAGUUAAAUUCACUUUUAGACAAAGUAUGGUUUUAGCCGAUUAAGAACUACAGUUAAUCUAGUUUUUAUUAGUUUGACUGAUUUAUUUGAGGUACCAAAUUUAGUUAUUAAAUUAUACCAAAAUUACAGUGAGUUGUAUGUGUUGAUUAGAGCCUACAUGAAUUUUCCCAUGAUUUUAUCUUGCUCGCAGGACUUAUGUCUUAUAUGUGUUUCCCUUUCCUAAAUGCAUGUAAAUGUUUAUAAAAGUUAUAUUUGGACUCUCAUUAACAUGAGGUGAUGUUGAUAUGUUAGAAUUACAGUUUACCUUACACAUGUCAUAAGCUCCUUCCCUAUUUAUGCAUAAGUUUACUUUAGUAUUAAAUUAAGAGAAUGCUUAUAGAGAUGAUUAAGAUAGAAUAUACCCUAUAUGAUAUAAUUUAUUUGUUCACUUUCAUGUUCAUGACAUGUCUUCAGAUGGAUGUCCAAAUUAGUUUUGUGAGGCUUGACAUUAGCCAUGUUGAUUUUUUUUUAAGGUGUAUGGUUUCUGUGUAUUAUUUUCCAUUAGUUAGCACUAGGCCCUAAUGGUUUAGUUGUUUGUCUAGAUUGCAAUUAUAUUCAUGAGACCUAUUAUGAAAUGCAAAUCGAAAAUCCAAAUGCAUAUGAAGGACUCAAGUCAAAAUAUGAUUUAUGCAAGUAUGCAUGCUUUCACUUGGGUUGCAUCCAAGUCCUAGGUUAAAGAUGAAAAAGUUUUUAAUUUGUUCUCAAAUUUUAUUCAUGCAAGAGUUGGAUCAACUCCACCUAGGUUUAAAAUGGAAAUUUUUGGUUUACAAAAUUGAAGAACUUCCCUUUCAACUAGUUUUGAUGGAAAUUCCUUAAUCCUAGAAUUCAGGUAUGUUACACGGGCGCGGCGGGCAGGCAAGCGCGCGGGAAAGAAGCUACGCGGCGGGUGGCGGCAGGCAAAGCGGGCAUGGUGGCAAGCGGAGUUGGCGCGGCGAGCGGGCGAGCGCGUGGGGAAGAAUCUAUGCGGGGGGCGGAGGCCGGCUCCCCUCGUGACUUCGUGGGCGUCCAUACCUCCGCCGCCGAUGUCCCUCCACCAUCGCCGAUGUUGUGCUCGUCUUGCAUGGAGAUCCCCUCGCGACUUCGCGGCGGCGGGCAAGUACGGUGGGCGAGCAUGCCGGCGGGCAGAGCAACCCCGUCCUCAUCGUGCUCCUCCCCUUCGUCGGAAGCGAGAGCAGCAGCGAGGCAUCAGGCGGAAAACGAGCACGGUUGCGGGCUCGCUGAGAUGAAGGCGGCGGCGGCGGGCGCGCUGGUGGAGAAGGCGCGAGAGAAUCAUCUUUGUACCACCGGGCAAUGACGCCGGCGCUAGCACCGAUAUGCCUCCUCUCUCUCUCUCUCCCUCCUUCCCUCCCUCCCUCCCUCCUCCGGUCUCUCAUUGUCGCUUUGCCUCUCCCGACUCCCCCGCCGCUCCGCCCACCGCGCUUGCCCGCCUCCGCUCUGCCUGCCGCCACUCCGCUUCCGCGCGGGCCUACCACUACGCUCGCCCGUGACCCACCCAUCGCCGCUCCGCCUACCUGCCACCGGCCUCCCUCACUUAAGAAGAGAAUAGAGAAGAGAGAAAAGAAAAGACAAGAAGAAGAAAAGAGAAGGAAAAAAAAAGUGCAACUGACAUGUGGGCCCCACGUAUUUUUUUUAAAAAGUUUUGCUGACUAGGAUGCCACAUCAACAAAUCCACCCAUAUAUACUGCCAUAGGACCUUGAGUGCACGGUUUGUGUGAGUUCAGAGGUAUACAUUUCUGAUUUUGUGGUUAAGGGACCUCAAAAAAUAUGGCUGUUAAGUUGAGGGACCUCUGGUGAACUUAUUCCGGACAUAUAUGUCCAGAUCCAUAGUACUAUAAUAUGUCACAUCCCGUACUAGUUUGCUAUAUUUUGUGAUGGAUGAUGUAUUUGAGAGAUAGAUCAUAUCGGCCGAUGAUGUAUGAACGCCGAUGGGCACCAUAGUCCCUUUUAUGGACGAAGCUAGUAGCUGAUACUCUCCUUUUAGAUUAUUUAUCAUUCUAGGAUUGGACUUAAGUCAAGUAUUUCCACGCCUAUAUAUAACGUGUUUAUAUGACUAGGUCCCACCCUAACUCAGCUGGAUUGACUGCAGUCAACUCGCCACCUGAGCUGAAACCAGGCACAAUACUAUCCUGGAUCUCGGGUACUUCGCUAUUGUAAAUUGAUGAACACGUUAUAUUAGUAUUACAGUUCAAAAAUUAAAGUACGCGAUUCAAACACGACAUCAAGGCAAGAAAUCUAAAGUAACCUUAUUUCAUAACAAAAUUUGGCCCAAUUACUCGCUUGGGGCAAUAAGCUAGACCAACAAACUAGGAAGAAGAAAAUCAGACAACAGUAUUGCAAACAGCUUCCACCACCUCUUAUGCUGUAGCAUGCUUGUAAAGUAAAGACAAAUCUAGGGUUGAUCCAGCCUUCAUGCUCUAUUAGGAUACAAAUCUACAUGCUCCGCUAAGAUAUGUUGGUUACUUUCAUGUCCGAUCGCUUAAACGUUGUUUUUUUUUACCAAGGCGCCGAAGGAGCUUCAGAAAACAUACUAAAUACAAUGCAAUCAGAGACCUCAUUUGUGCCAAUCAAACAAUACAAGUGAACUCUUCAUCUAAAUAAAUCCUUAUCCAUAACCAAAAAUCAUCUUCUUUCAUGAUCCAAAGAAGAUGGGCUUACCAAGGUAGUGAAGUAUUCAUCAUCCUCGACUAACUCAAAACCUUCUCAUAGUGUGUAAAUGAAUUCCCUAACGUAGAAAAAUCUCCCAAAUAACAUGUCACAAAGGUAUGGUAGGUGUGGCUUAACAAGGGUUAAUUAGAUUUAUGCCAUUACAAAUUUCACGAUUAAAAUAUACCAUCACUAUUCACAUAUUUGUAACCAUGCAAUCACAAUUUCACAGUUAUUUGAUACAUACCACUACUUACCCUUUCAUCUUAUUUUUCAAAAGUUUUAGACCAAAAUGCCCAUGUCUUCUUCCUUCAUCCCCUCCUCUCUCUCCUGUUCAUCUCAUCUGUUCAGAUCUAGCCUAGCCUUAACCGAUGCGCAUCCUUGCCGGCGGCGGAGAUAGUUUGGGCGGCGCCCUCACCGACGUUAAGGACCACCACAGCAACGAGCGCCUUCAACGCAUGUUCUAGCAGGAGUUCGACACGCAUGUUGUGGAAGAAUAUACGCUCUUUUGUUUUUUUCAUUUUUAUUCAUAACGUUCUUGGUUUUCUUCAUCAUCAAUUGAGAAGGUUACGCAAAAAAAAAAGAGAUACAAAAUUCAUGUGUGCGCACGUGAUGAAUAAUUUAUGCUAUGUCAUUGUUACAUGCAUGUUUCGGUAAAACAUACAACAAAUAAAUUCUCUUUUAUUUGAAAGAACUAGUCGGUCGGGAUAUUAUUUCAGCUUAAGAAACACAACGUUGUCCCUCAAAUUGUCGCACAAGCAGGAUGACCGUUGCUUGUGCUAUCUCGGGGUCAGAUCUGAGACAAGGAAGAAUAUGAACAGGAGAGAGAGGAGAAAAGGUGAUGAGGGAAGAAGAAGGGCAAUUUGAUCCAAAAAUUAAAAAAAAAAUAGAUGAAAGGGUAAGUAGUGGCAUGUAUCAACUAACUAUGAAAUUGUGAUGGCAUGGAUAUAAAUAUGUAAAUAGUAAUGGUAUAUUUCAAAACCAUGAAAGUUGCAAUGGCACGGGUUUAAAUAUUACAUUCACUAGUUGUAAGUUAAGCAUGGAACAGUCACAUGUCUCAGCAUCUGCCACUAAGAAAGUUUGUCUCAACAUCUGCCACUAUGAAAGUUCGUUGUUAAGGACAGUCCAUCUAUAAACUUUAAUUUUUCGAAUUUAUGUAUCUAAACAUUUACAAUUCUUCUUAUUCUUAAUCCAUACAUACGGCAGGGUAUGACCUAUACGAACAAUAAGACGACCAAUCAAGAAAACCAUAGUUAAAAACUAAUUUUUUAACUUUUAAUUUGUUGGGUUGGACGACAAGUUCGGUUAUAUAAUGCUGAAUUAUAAAAUUAAAAUUCUACCAUUGAACAUUCUAAUAGGAAAUGAUGACAAUGUCAUUAAUAAAAGUGAGCAAAUUCAAUCAUUUUUAUAUUUGCUUUUCAAUGAGAUAUAUCCUAAAUGGCAAUAUCCUAACAUUGCGGAGUUCAUCACUCUGAUGCGCAAGACACAACGUAAGCUCAAAUGUUAUAUAUAUUUAAUAAAUCACUUUUAAAAUUUAAGAAUGAGAGCCUAUGCAUCGUUGGAAAUUCUACCAUUAAACAUUCAAAGGAAAUGAUGACAAGGUUGUUCAUAGUAGUGAGCAAAUGUAAUUAUUUUUAUAUUUGCUUUUCAAUGAGAUGUAUCCUAAAUGGCAAGAUCCUAACCUUGCGGAGUUUAUCACUCUAAUGCGCAAGAUAUAACAUAAGUUCAAAUGUUAUAUAUAUUUAAUAAAUAACUUUUUAAUAUUUGAGAAUGAGACCCUAUCCGUCAUUGAAAGGGGUGGUGGCAGUGAAUGUCUUUCUUUUGAAGUGGUAAAAGUUUACAUAUACAUAUAUCAAUAGCUAAACGUUUUAUAUGUAUUGCAGGAUUGAUCAGUUGCUUUCAUUUCUCUUAUCGCCUCUAAAUAUAUAUCUUAUAGAAAAUUAUAACUCAAACAUAUAGAAAAGGCAUCUAAAGGAUAUUAUUUUUUCUAGAUAAUAUAGUUCAUUGCAUGUUGCGUUUUUUUGUUACAACUAUAUAGGAUAUAUAGUUCUAGUUGAUGCGGCUUAAUAUAUGUUGAGUUUUAUAGUAAUGACUAUAUUAAGUGCGUUAUAAAUGCAAAUGACAUAUCAAUGAUUAUGAUCAAAACAUAAGAAAGAUCUAAAUAUUAUUAUUUUCUAUAUUAUGACUCACUGCAUAUUGAGCUUUCGAUUAUAACUAUAUAAAUAGGAUAUAUCGAUAAUACUCACAAUAGCACAUCAUAUCUUCAAAGCAGGUUGUGGAGAACAAUCCUAUUUAUAUUUCUAUAAAAGUGUACGGAUGUGUGCCAAGUGGAAAAUAUCCAAAUCCCCCCUCCCCCCUCCUUAAAAAAUCUACUUUAGAGUUUUUAAUGCUCAUGAGUUAUAUCCCUAUUUAGAUACUUUUUUAUCCUGGUAAAGGGAUUUCUUCUAGGACCUCUUUAAGGAAUACCUACCUUUUUUCCUUCACCAUGUCUAGAAUCAUCCUAGAGAAAUAAUAUUGACAAUUCAACAUAUCUCUGAACCUUUCCUCUUGCUUGCCUUACUUUGAGACUUUGAGUAGUCUGCAUGCUCUGGACUAUUGAAUAGAUCAAUGUGGAAAGUGGCGAGACGGGGAAGCGGCGGCGGUGUGGAUACGGGGUCCUGCGGCGGCGGUGAGGUGGGGAGGUGGCGGCGAGGUGGAUCUGGCGUCCCACGCGGAGCUGCCAUCGCGUGGCAGCCUCUGCACCAGCGCAGCAGCUGAGGACAGCCAGUGGCGGCCAUGAGCAGAGGUGGACCCUCGUCGUCGUCUGCUCGUGGUGUAUGGCUCAUGGCAGCAGGUUUGAGGAGGACGGUUGGCCAUCUCCUUUGAUGCUGGCCAGGCAACCCCCUCUCUGUGGACAUCCUUCCCUCCUCAGUGGGGAGCUCCAUAGGUGGAUGGAGGUAGUGGCUUGACGACAUGGGAUGGCUUAGGUCACCGAAGCGGCGUGGCCCAACUCCGGGCUCUCCUUGGCCGGAUUCGACAAGGAGGCUGGUGGGUAGCAGAGUGGAGGAGACCUAAGACAACACAUAGGGAAGUUGGUGGCGGGGUAGAGAAUGCUGGCGGCGGGCAGGGACGUCUCCCUUGAUGUCGGUCGGGUGUCGUCUCGACUUGUGGAGCAUCUCCCGUUCUCUAUGGGAUGUUCUAUAGGUAGGUGGGGGUAACGGUAUGUCAAUAGGGGAAGGCUUGGGCUGCCGAAGCUACAUCGUCCAUUACCGGGCUUUUUGCCGGAUUCGGAGCUGAGGUCGGUGGAUGGCAGAGCGAAGGAAGCUAGCUCAGCGUUGCGGGGGAGUGACAACUGGUAAAAGGCGCUGGCGGUGAGGCGAAGUGGCCAGUCUUGAUGUCGGUCGGCGGUGAGGAGCCGGACCGGUACGGCGGAGGACACACGCUACCGAAUACCAAUGUUGGGCUGGUGGUAUUAGAUCUGGCAGGCGACAGACCACAGAAACGGGGUGAAGAGGAUCCCAGGCGAAAGCCUAGCCUAGCGCUUGAUUGGGCUGGCAGUAGCUACGCCUUUGGACGCGGUAACCCUCUUGAGGGUGUUGCCGAGGUACCCUCCUUCCUCGACGGGGGUCUCUAGGUGAAAACCGUGUCCAAUUUCUUUGGACGGAUGAUGACUGCGUCUUUUGGCAUCGCAACCUUCAUGGGGGCGUUGUUUUUUUGGACUAUCAUUCUAUGGUGUUGCUGUAAGCCUGGCGGCGACCGGCAUGCAUAGCGGUGGUCGGUCCGUCGUUCGGCCCUCCUCUCUAUAGCUUGUGUUUGUGCGGUUGGCGUGUGGUGUCGGGGCGUGUGCUUUGGUGCACUUUCUUUCUCGAGAGCUAGCUGUUGAUGAAAAACUUUGUUGAGACUUUUUUUCUUCUAUCUUUAUAACAUUUGGAUGACUUCCUUCACUCACCCCGACAAAAAAAACAUGGAUAUGUAUAUCCUAUAGAAUUUCUGGCUUCAGGUUUUUUUUAACGAAUUUCAGGCUUCAGCCGUGCUCCAAGUCAUCGUAUGAAGUAUGAAACUUCAGCCAUCAUUUAACAGUUAACAUUUUUGUGCCAAAUAUUAACUAUAUCUCUAUCUCUACUAUUAUAAAAAUUAAAGAUGUUUUUGCCAUAAUUUUGAUACGUUAUCUGUAUUUGAAUCGGUUUUAAUUUUGUGUUUCGACUUUAAUCUAUAUAUAGAAAAAAAAUAAGUCCGACUCAAAAAAGGUUAAAAAAAAGAAAGGAAAAACGUCCAAAUUAACGAGCGAUAAAAAAAAGCUUCCAUCUAUCUAUUAUAUUAUAUUAUUAAAACAGCCUUGAAAGGAGGCACCACGUUCGCUGUGGGGGCUAGAAAUUCCCACAUUAAUCGAAGAAAAAGAGAAAAAUCUACACCGUUAGAUCGUAGUGGAUCUAAAUUAUAACGGUAUAGAUUGAUAGCUAUAUAUAUGUAGUACAAUUGUAGUUUUUAAAUUAUAAUAAGUUGUGGAUGAAAUAUAGCAAUCUACUACUCAUAUUUGGAAUCAGGCAUAUUAGAAUCGGCUUUUUUUCUUUGAUGAAACCGUUAAGGAGUAGGAUUAGGAUUGCAGCCGCACGAAUUUUUUCUUUUCUUUAAUGAAACCGUUACGGGGUAGAAUUGCAGCUGCCCAGGAGCCAAGUGCCGACCGGCCCUUCAUACUCUGUCUGGCUGCACGGCUCUUGUGCUUAGAAUUCUAGAUUUACUGUGAAAAGCAUAGGCUCAUGGUAAACUGACACACGAACCCCAUAUGAGAUUAAUUAAUUUUCAGAAAAAAAUAAAAUCUGAAAUUAGCAAAAAAAGGAAAAGAAGAGUUUGAGUAGAAAUACAAUUUAAAAAUAACUAAAAUUCGAAAUUAAAAUUAUGCAAUAUUGGAAGAAGAGUCUAUAUAAAAACCCAAUACGAAAAUAUUAAAAUUCAGAAUAAAACAAUAGAAAUUAUAAAAAAAAGAAAAGAAGAGUUCAAGUAGGAAUACAAUUUAAAAUUAACUGAAAUUCGGAAUUAAAUAUAAGCAAUAUUGAAAUAAGAGUACAUAUAAGAACCCAAUAAUACUAAUUAAGAUUCGGAAUGAAAAAUAGAAUAAAAUCCAAAAUUGGACAAAUUAAAAAGAGAGUUCAAGCAGGAAUACAAUACGAUAUUAGUUAAAUUUCGAAAUAAAAAAUAAAAUAAACUCUGAAAUUAUAAAAAUUAAAAUAAGAUUUAAACUAGGAUACAAUUUAUAAAUAAUUAAAAUUGGUGAUAAAAAAAUAAAGACCAUCUAAAACACAUGACGGGAUUAAUUGAGUAACAGGCCUAUAAAAUAGUAGAGCGGUGGCGGUUGAUGGGAUAUCUAAAAUCUAUUAAUAAAACACUAAAUAGAAUGAUAACGGGCAUGUCAUGAAGCAACCGGUACAGGCGGUUGGUGGGACUUCGGAAAGUAAAAAAAAACAAUGAUAACCAUAUUUGAUUUUUAAAAUCUCAAUGAUAAUAAAAAGGAGAGGCGGCGGGAGGGUCGUACAGGAGUACAAUGGCAGAGCGGACGAUGGUUGGUGGGACUUCUAGAAAGUAAAAAAAUGAAUUCCAACGAUAAUUAUGUUCGAUUUUUAGAAUCCCAAUGGUAAUAAAGAGUAGGCAGCGGACGGGUCGUAGAGGAGUAUAGUGGCAGCGUUUGACGAGAUUUCUAAAAAUUAUAAAAAAUGGAAUCCAACGAGACAAUAAAUUAUAAAAACUAUAAGGUCCAAAUUUAAAAGGUUCGGGCUUCUGAAAAGUAAAAAAAAUAAUGAUAAAAUCUCAGUGAGAGUAAAGAAGGGAGGCAGCGGGCGAGCCGUAUUGGAGUACAGUGACAAAGUCGCUGACGUUUUGGUGGAACUUCCAAAAAGUAAAAAAAAAGAACCUAAACGAUAAUUAUGUUUGAUUUUUAAAAUACCAAUGACAAUAAAGAGAAGAGGUAGUGGAUGGGCCGUAGAGGAGUAUAAUGGCAACGUUUGAUGGGACUUUUACAAAUUAUAAAAACGAAACCCGGCGGGACAAUAAACUCUAAAAACUAUAUGAUCCAAUUUUUAAAUGUUCCAAGAAGAAUUAAUAGAAACAGUGGUAGAUCGAGGAAGCAAAUAAAGAAAGAUAUGACAUAAUUAAGGGGUAUCAACUGGCGUGUGACUUUUAAAAACUAUAAAAUUAAAAACACAAUGAUGAUAAGGUUUGGUCCAACGAGAUAAUUAUUUAAUAAAUUUUAAGUAAAAUUAUAUUAAAAAUAUAUAAUUUUGUAUGGGUGCUAGCCGCGCAAUUGCGCGGGUCACCCAGCUAGUUGUCAGUAAAAAAAAGAAAAAAACAUCUCGUCGUAAAAAAAAUAGUCCGACUCCAGUAGAGAAAGGGAAAAAAAUCUCCCAGUAAAAUAAACAAAAAAAAGUCGGUUUGGUUUUUUUGCACCGGUAUUUUUUCCCCUUUUUUCUUUGCACGCAAAAGAGUUUUUUAUGCGCACACGGUAAGUCUUUUGGUUUUUUGUCCGGCUUUUUUUAAUCCGAUCUGUUCAUCGCGUGCCUCUCGGGCACUUUUGGUUUUUUUUCGUCAAUCUUUUUUGUCGCUGGUUUUUUCUCCUGUGCACUUUUUGUUUUUCUCAUCCGGUUUUUUAAUCCCAUCUGUUUGCCGCACGCCUCCCUAGGUGAACCCUAGCGCCGCGCCGCCGCCAUAUCGAUCAUGCAUUUUCUCCUCCAAUUUGAUUACAAAAUCGAUUCCCCACUCCUCUCUCAUCAUUUCUCCAUGAUUUUCCCUUUGAUUCAGUGCCAGAUUUAAUCUCUGUUUUACCGUUGCCGAUGAUGACGGCAAUCUUCCCCGGUCAUUUUUAUCCCGAGUUUUACGCUCUGAUCUUGGGGAAGACAGAAAGAGUAGAUCGAGUGGAUCAAAAACCCUCGACCAAUUUGACUGGUCGAGAAAGAUUCUGCCAGAUUUGAUGGGGAUAUUUGCUCUGGCUACCGUACGGGCACGGGAUUAUCUUCGGGAGGUUGAAGAUGGUAAUCAUCUUCCCAGACACGGGACUAUCUUUGGGAGGUUGAAGAUGGUAAUCAUAUUUGGGAGGUGAAAGAUGGUAGUCAUAUUCGGGAUGUUGAAGAUGGUAGUCGGCUGUGUGAGUUGGGUUUACGGCUCUACUUAUGGCUGGGUCGAAGAGAAGCAGACCAAAUGGAGAGAGGUAGCGGACUAGCCUAGGGCUGAAAAGGAAGGAAGGCUUUCGGACGAAAAUCCAGGAAAUAUUUUCAUUAACUUUUUUAAUUAUAAUCUACAGCGAUCCCAAUAUUAAGAUUUUUAUUAACUUUUUCAAUUAUAGUGUAUGUUGAUCAUAAUAUUUCAAUUUAUUGCUCAGCUCUUAAUAUAUCACUGAAAAAACGUCUUUACCCAUUGCAACGCACGGGUAUUUUUUUUAUUUUUUCUAGUCAAUUAUUAUGUCUACUACUCUUGGUAAAUAAUCCCUAUCUACCUUCUAUUGUGUUGCUAAGCCACCUAUAACAUUUUGGUUGCUAAACAACUUCUACUACGGGAGGUUUGGGCCUAGGCCCGUUUUCCCUUUUUUUGGUGGGGGCACUUCUUUUUCUUGACAGGCAAUGUGGACCUUAUGGACCAAAUGGGUGUUGCGUUUUUUUUAAAAAAAAAAACUUGCUUUCUAAUUCAUCCCAAAUUCAUAUGCAUAAAAGCUUCAAACAAAUAUAUAGUUCAUGGGUAAUUUUAUCAUCUUUGAGAAAGUACUGAAAGGUAUCACAUUUUCUAAUGUAAAAUUUGGUACAUCUAGAUACAAAAUAUCUUGAUGCACCAAAAAUUUUAAUAUAAAAUUUAGGUACCUCGAGGUAUUUUUCUCAAGUACUAUAAAAUUGCUAUGUUUCUAUAUCAAUUUUUUUAUACGGUAAGUUUCUAGGUAGAUAGUUCACGUAGAAAGUUUCUAUGCCUAGGUGGGUUUGUCUUUCUUUUCUUUUAUUGAACUUGCCUUUUGAACUUAUUUUAAAUUAACGUUCAUAAAAUUCUCUACUGCGGAUAUUUCUAUGUAGAAACUUUUGAGUCAAUAAGAAGGAACACAUCCCGAAGUGGAAAAAAGGACCUUAAGGCCCUGGUCGAUUAAUCCCAAAGGAAAAGGGAUGAGAGAGGAUUUAUUCCACAUAUAUUAUGAUGUGGAAUUAUUCUCAUUUAAUCUCCUCCAAACAAGAUCUAGGGACUAAACUUUAAUUCAUGUCACAUCAGAUGUUUGAACAUUAAUUUAGACUAUUAAACAUAGACUAUUUACAAAACUAAUUGCAUAAAUAAGAGCUUAUCUACGAAACAAAUUUUUUAAGCCUAAUUAAUCCAUAAUAAGGGAAUGCCUACUGGCAUCACAUAGACUAAUCAUGGAUUAAUUAGAUUCAAUAUAUUCGUCUCGUGAAUUAGUCCAAGGUUAUGGAAUAGGUUUUGUCAUUAUUCUACGUUUAAUAUUUCUAAUUAGUGUCCAAACAUCCGAUGUGACAGGAAAAAAAAAAUUUUUAGCCCCAUCAAAACUCGCCCAAGAGAAAACGAACGUGGACUCGAUGCACGUGUGGAGUGAACCUGUCGGAAUGCGUUUUUGCGUGGACUGAAAACGCACCCACGCUCACCCGCACCAUUAGACGCGCACCCCCAACAAUUCACAUCAUGGCUCGCUUGUCCAUGCCCAUACACGUUGAAAGCCACCAGCUCGUCCACCGUGGCAAUAUCCUCUAAAAUUGCUCAACGUGAACUUGCCACAGGUGAGGUGAGCAUGCGCGCGCCACGGCCGCGGCGGUGGCCGGCCGACGGCGACACGUUGUGCUAGAUGAGGUGGUGCAUGACAUCCACGGCUUCAACAGUUCAACUUCCGGAGUUGAACUGUGCAAAAAAUCCGACUCAGGAAUGCAGGAUUGUCCAAGCACACACAAACAAUCUCCAAAAAUCCAAAUGAAUCGGUCGCAUUUCAACUAAUUAAGGCUGCGUCUAGUUGGAUCCAAAGUUUGGAUUUUGAUUAAAAUUGGAGAUGACGUGACUGAAAAGUUAUGUGUGUAUGGCAGGUUGAUGUGAUGGAAAAUGACUGAAGUUUAGAUCCAAACACAGCCUAAACUGUUUUGACUUGAAUUUUCGACGAGUGUCCUGCAUGCACAUGCGUGAACACCUCAGUUGGAGUUGGGUCACUCCGAUUGAACCAGCAAUUGGGGCCAAGUGGCCAACGUUGAUUGCAUCAGUGGGCACACGAUGACUUCGUUGCUUCUACUGUGCAGCGAGUGAUAUAUAUGCGCGUGAUAUAUAUGCGCGCGUGCGGCUGACUUCCUUGCUUCUACUGUGCAGCGAGUGAAUUAGAGCAGCUAGAAUAGUAGACUAUAUAAGAGCAGGUACAAUAGCAGGCUAUAAGCCAGCUGCAAACAUAUUUUAAGUAGAUAAAUGAUGAGAGAGAAGGGCAGCUGGCUACAGAUUUGUAGCCAGCUGCAGCACGGAUUCCAAGACGCAGUGUGUAUGACAGGUGGGACCAACUAUUAAUAGUGUAGUAUGUAACUAUUGUAUGAAUGAGCUAUUAGAUUGGCUACAGAUAAAUUGGAGCUAGUAGUUGGCUAUACUAUUGAACUUGCUCUAAGCCAACUAUAAACACAUAUCGAGGAGAGAUGAAAGAAAAGAAGAAAAACAGCAGCUAUAAGCACGGACUACAAGAAAUAAUGUGUGUAUGACAGGUGAGACCAUGUAUUAAUAGUGUAGUAUACGUUUAUGGAUAACUAUUGUACAGAUUGCUAAUUAAGUCGACUAUAGUUGAUUUGAAGCUAGUAAUUGGCUAUACUAUUAAACUUGCUCUUAAGCUGCAGCUGAGCUUUGUCACUGUCGCGCAUCUUAGCCGCACGCCGGAAUUCCAAACGAGUUGCAGCCACGCGCGUGCGACAAUACAUUGCGAUCUCGUCGUCGCCAUUGUCGAUCGAUCAGCCAGAGAGGUGGCCGAUAGUUGGCUGUGAAACAGUGAAAGUUGCAGCAAUUCUGGAAGCUAGCUGCUGCAGAGAGUCAAUCGGAGAGAAGACGACAGAAUAGUCGACGGUUGAGAAGAACGUUCAGAAAAGUUGCUUCCAUCUAUCUUUUCCUGCGAAGAAAUGAAAAUCUGAUGUGGAAAUUAGUUAGCAGCUAUAAUAUCGUCACGUGCACAUGAGUGGCCAGAGUCCAUCGUUUGUCCUAUAUGAAGUCAACCGUUGUCAAAUUUUGAAUUUCAAAUUUUAUUUCGAAGUUAAUUAACUUGGUGUCCUUUUUACCGUUGGUUUUUAAUCACUGGAAAUAUAUACUCCCUCCAUUUUUGUAAAGAAAAUCAUUUUGGACAGCGACACGAUCUCCAAAAUGCAACUUUGACUCCUUCUUUCUAUAAAAAUAUUAUUGAAAAGUGAUAUAUGUAUACUUUUAUGAAAAUAUUUUUCAAUACAAAUCUAUUCAUAUAAUUUUUACAUUUUCAAACUCAACAACUUAAGAGUUAUUCAUAAUUUAUAUUCCCAAUGUUUGACUUAAACACUGUCCUAAACAAUUUCCUUUACGAGUACGGAGGGAGUAUAUUGUAAAAGUUUUAACUACAAUUUUUUUAUUGCUAAUAAAUUGUUUUUGUUUAUAAUCUCAUCUUAUAGCCAACAAAUGAGGCCCGAGGAUAUAAGCUGUCAGCUGUCAUCACGAUCUUUUCUCUUAUAUAUGUUGUUAACUGCCGAUAAGAUUGACUCGUCACACCAUGGUGCAUGGUGAUCUACAGGAAAGAAGUUAUCAGGGAAAACUUGAUUGUCAUUUUGUCAGAGUUCCAGUCAAACUCAAAGCUACGAGCAUUCUGCCAUUUCGAGUCUUGGAAAGGCACAGGUUAGUGUAUCUACUCGCAUUUUGGAAAGUGGCAAGAAAAAUAUUUCAAAGAUCUAGAAGAGAGUUACUCCGUACCUUCAAAAGAUGAUCUAGAAACGAGCCAGUGAUCAGUGUUGGAAGAAAGAAAAAUGACAUACUAUAAUAAUCUUAUAAUUGAAAAAGAAACUCGAAUGAUGUUCAAUACUAAUAAACUAAUGAUAUUUUUAAUCAAUAAAACAACGAAAUACUAUUAACAUUAUUCACUUUAAAAAAUAAUCAAAAACAAAUUCCAUCCGGUUAUUGUUUUACCGAUAGUACGUGUGAACAUUUUGUUUUCUUUUUAGAAAAUAGAUUAAACCGGCCUCUAUUCAAAAUAGAUAUACACAACGAACGUGCGAACAAUUUAGCGAAUAUUCAGUAGUCCUUCAGAGAGAAUUGUCAGAGGUACGAACUGCUUAAUGGUGAUCGAAUCGACAAAUAAUGGAUUAAAGACAAUCAAUAAAGCGCGCCAUUCCCUAAAAAAGAAAAGACGAGAACUAGCAUGUAAGAGCAUGCCCAACAGCUACCCAAGAACCCUCCAGCGCGCGUGAGACAAAAACCAGAUGAUUGGGAAUGAAAUAUCGCUUCUUGGAAGUGGGGAUCGAUAUAUACGGAGAAGGGAACGAGAUAUUUUGGGAGCAGUCAUAGUGAAUCUGUUGGAUUCAAUUUUUGACCAAAAAUCCUAAAAUUUCAGGAUAGGGAAUGAAAAAGGGAAGCUAUUGGUAAUGCUCUAAGUACGUUCAAAUCAGCUAUAUUAAUUCAUAUGAUGUACAAGGGAUAUAUACUCACCAAUAACAUUUUCCACACGAUAUGUAGUCUAGUUAAUUAUUAUUAACUCUGUCUCAAAAUAUAAGAGAUUUGGUCCGUAUAAUUAGUUAAGAGAUGAGGUUGUAUUUUACAGAUAGUACGCGUGAACAUUUUGGGAGAAAAUGUUAUUAUUCUACCGAGAGUACGUGUGAACAUUUUUUGGGACAAUUUAGUUUCAGAGAGAAUUUUCAUAGGUACGAGUUGUUUGAUGGUGAUUGACUCGAUGAAUAAUCGAUUAAAGACAAGAACUAGCAGAUAAGUACGUAGCACAAAUCAGCGUACGCAUAAGGUGUUGUUUCUUAUACACUUGCACAGCUCGAAUAUAAACGAUUAAAUCCAUACAUCUUAGCACUCUAAUUAAUUGCUGAUACGAUGUUCCAAAAAAGAAAAAGAAAUUGCAGAUAUGAUUAUGUGUAGCUUUCGUCGUUGAAUAAUCAACACAAACUAGUCCAAAGGCAAUCUUACGUACGUCACAGGGGUUCAUGGUCAGUGGUCAGAGAAGACUAUGUAGCUUUGACUAAUUUACUCCAAUUAUGCUGCUCCUUGUUCUCUGUUCUCACUUUGCUUACAUCGGCAAAAUGCUAACCCACACGUAAUUAACAAUUUAACAUGCUUGCUGUGUCAAUCAAAAUUUUACUACUUGUGAAAGCCGUACAAUUAGUGUGUCAUUCUCCUGUAUAUAUUAUGGCCAUUGAUGGGUUAGGUUAGAACAGAAAUAGAUUAUAUACAAAUUAAACACUGCAUUUGUGUUUGUUUUCCAGGUAACCAUUAAUUUUCUAGAAAUUAACGUUGUAAAAUUUAUGUUUUUAAUCAGCCAUGAGAAAUACUUUCAUAGCAUCCAUAUAUUGUGAAAAAAUAUGAAUUUAUAGAUACUGACAGUCAAAAUUAAAAAUGUUUGACGAAAUACAAAACUAAAAUUACAAGCAAUUUAUAAAGCGGAGAGUCCUUUUUCUUUCUAUAAUAGUAUCAAAUCUUACAGUAUAAAAUGUAGUUUUCACGGAUUUAUGUAUUCCUACCUAAAAACAUGAAUGAGAUGAGGAUUAUUGGUGAGGAGCAGUCAAUGCACCAAAUCAGCCGCCACAUAGUUAAGUAUUACCACUACCAGUUGUAGUGCUAUAUGUAGCUUUCCAGUUGCCUGAUUUUACUGGAGAACUAAAAUAUUUUUAGAGGCAGUCUUGGACUCCGACAGGAUGCUUAAUCAUCGAGAUCAAGACAUGAUGGACCGGUACACAAUGUUAGAACUAAUUAAUCAUGCAUUUCGUGUUAAAUUAGUGCACAUGGGUCGAUCAGGAUCAGUAUUAGCCGCCGUAGAUUAGUACACUCUUUACCUACCGUCUUGGAAGUAUGUCCCUGCUACUCCCUCUUGGAAGUACGUUUUUAUGUCAAUAUAAAAAUAACAACAUUCAUACUACCAAAAUAUUUUCAGUGUCAGUUUUAAUGAAAUGAUUUGGUAUUGUAGAUAUUACCAAAUUUUUCUAUAAAUUUAAUCAAACUUAAGAAUUUUUUACUAUGAGAAAACAUCAAAUCGUCAAGCGAGUAGAAGACUAUUAGCUGAGUGGACAGGGGAAUCGAACCUCUGGUAUGUCCGACAUCCCGGAUAGAACAAAAAAGACUAUUAGCUCAUUUCUGAUACUAAGCACUAAUUUAUUUCCAUUUUCCUUUUCUUUUUGUUGGUUUAUGGUAUUCCGGUUGGAUUUGGAUCAGAUUCUUCAUCUAGAAACAGCAGUGUUGAGAGAUUUGACUUGGAGAGUCUUGGUCAAACUUAGUGCGUUGCAAAGUCUUCAUCCUCCCUACCAAUCCAAGGAUGGCUGCACAUCUGGACUUUCAAAGCAUUUCCGUACACACACAUAAUGCAAGAUCCCGAUCCACCUAAUGUAAGAGGACAGUACGUAAGAGGAUCCGGUUCCGUUACAAACAGGGCGUGAAUUCAACCGAGAAUUAUCACUGCUAUAAUCGAUUACAUUAUGGAUCUGUUUAGUUGGUGAAAUAAAAAUAUUUUAGUGUCACAUUGGAUGUUUGACCGGAUGUUGGAAGGAGUUUUCGAACACGAAUGAAAAAACUAAUUUCAUAACUCGCCUGGAAACCGUGAAACGAAUAUUUUGAGCAUAAUUAAGCCGUCAUUAGCAUAUGUAGGUUACUGUAGCACUUAUGGCUAAUCAUGGACUAAUUAGGCUCAAAAGAUUCGUCUCGUGAUUUACAUGCAAACUGUACAAUUAGUUUUUCUUUUUAUCUAUAUUUAAUGCUCCAUGCAUGUGUCAAAAGAUUCAAUGUGAUGUUUUUAUGAAAAGUUUUUAGGGAACUAAUCAAGGCCUAUAUUUACAAAUUACUACCUCCGUCCCAAAAUAAGUGUAGCCGUGGAUAUCCGUGCCCAACGUUUGAUCGUCCGUCUUAUUUAAAAAUUUUUUGAAAAAUUUGAAAAUAUUUAGUCACACAUAAAGUAUUAUUCAUGUUUUAUCAUCUAAUAGCAAUAAAAAUACUAAUCAUAAAAAAUUUUUAAAUAAAACAAAUGGUCAAACGUUAAACGUGAAUAUUAUAAAACUGCACUUAUUUUGAGACGGAGGGAGUACAUGUCCUGAUGGCAGGAUGGCAACAUAUGGACGACGAGCAACAUCACGUAUCAGCGUCGCGUGUCACCGCGGGCAGAGCAUAUAUGCUUGUGAUGCCCAUCGACGGAUGAUUGACAGACUCAUCAAGAUGGACACAGAAACCAGAAAAAGAAAAAUUCCCCCCGAAUCGCCUGAAUUUUACAGGAAAACAGUUCGUUUCCUUUUUAAAAAUCGUGAAAAAGGAAUACUAGUGAAAAAGGAGAACUGCAUAUGGCGCACACAACACGAGGGAAUACGCUUCUGCAGGAGAGAAUACGCUUUCCAGUCCAGCUCUCCCAUCAUCACGCUGAACAAGCUACCGGCCGCCGGCCGGCGGUUGGUCAGGCGGUGGCCGCCGUCAGUCUGGUCCGGCCAAGUGUCCAUGAUUCUGCAACGCGAGAAUGCAAGCCAGCUGUGGCGUCGCCUCGCGACAGACAGACAGGCCGACCGGCCGGAGAAUUAUUCCCUGGCGCCUGAAGCCUCCAACGCAUUCGGACGAUAAUCUGUUCUUAUUGUUUGUCUUAUGCUUAUACUUAUGCAUAUAAACCAAAAUUUUAAUUUUAGAAUUUUAAUUUUAAAUUUGAUUUUUGUUUUUCAUCGUAUUUUAUUUUACAAUGUUUUUUUCUCUUAAAUAUUCUUUUAUUUAUUUGUUAAUAAGCGAUUCGGAUAAGUAUAUGAAUAAGCGAAACAAUGGAGCUUCUAGAUGGCGUGACUGGUCGUGCAUGUCUUCUUCAAAAGUUGUACAGUGUUCCAUCCGUCCUAAAAUAUAGUUAAUUCUAAAAUUCAAAUUUUACCACAAAUAUAACAAUCUAAGAUAAACAAAAAAUAUUUUUUCACUAAACUGCCCACACAAGCAUACUACCUAUUGGUUUUAUUAUAGUCUUGAUCUACACCUAACACCUCACCAUCCCAAAAAGACGAACAAAUCUCUCUAUCCGUCUCCUUAAUAUAUGUCUAAUGUCUUCCUUUAAAAUUGCUACAUUUUAAAAUGAAGGUAAUAAUACAACAACUUGUAAAUAUAAAUUUAGAUAAGUAGUUCUCUAAACAUAUAGAUGUAGCUAUAGAAAUACUUAUAUUUUGGGAUGAAUGGAGUAGCAUAUAAACUUUGAAUUUUGAGAGUUGAUUUUAUGAUUCUUUUUUCAUCAUAGGAUAUUUUCUACUUAAUUUUCAAUUGAUAAUGACACAAAUAUAAACAUUUUAUCCUUAUAUCAUUUUUUAUCCGUUUAUGUUGCUAUGGCUGGGUCAUAGCAGGCAUGAUUGAUUUAUAUUAUAGUAUGGAUUAUUAUUACAGAUUAUCUACUUAAAUAUAGUGUCAAUUCAAAAUUAUAAAAAAUAAAUUUAAAAAAUAAAUCAAAAUAAAUUAUCUAAGCAAUAUCAAGUUCUUUUAAACAUGAAACAAAUAAUUCAACUUAAUAAUAUGUCGAAUAAACUAAAAAGAACAUGAAGUUUUGGUCGCUGAUAAUGGAAACUAUUUUAAUCCCGCGAGCUCGAGGGAUGUUCUCAUUAAUUUUAAAAAUGUCGAAAAAGUUACGAAAAUUUCUCAAAAAGUUUAACAGCACUCAUACAACAUAUAUAUUCCACCCUAGAAAAAUCUUAUGUCCAAAAUCGACUCGCACAUUUAGAUAUAAAAGAAGACAAAUUCAGUGUAUAAAUAAUAGUGUAUUAUUAUUUACGCGAAGUGAGUAUAGCUCAACUGGUUAGGUUCCUUGUGGUGGAACCAAACCACCUAGGUUCAAAUCCUAGAUUUCACACGGGUGCUCGCAUUUAUGGCUAAUUAUUCUUUCAGUGGUAGGCGACGUACCCGUCGACAGCGAGGCGCUUGUGGUGACUUCGUCAAUCUCAAGAUAUGCCGGCCUAGUCUUUCAGAGGUGCUCAUAGGGGUAGGGUGUGCGUGUGUGCGUUCAUAGGGGUGAGUGUGCGCACGUUGUGAGCGCUUGUGUUUGUACUGUGUUUCAAAAAAAUAGUGUAUUAUUUACACACGAAUUUGUAUCUUUUUUCUCAGUGUGUUGGUCGAAUUUGAUUUUGAUUUUUUUUAACUGAUAGAUGUCACUAUACUCUAUUUUUCUCGUUAUUUUUUCUAAAUCUUUUUAGAACUAUUUAUAUUAGAUUUUAAAAAAGAUACACGAUAGGACAUCAACUCGGAUUGGUUAUAGAAUUCCAUUCCUCGCUGACAGGUCAGCCAGAGUUGAGGCCAUGGCCAUUGUUGAGCAGCAGGAGAAUUUUCUGAUGGCUUAUUUGGUUUAGAGGAAUUUGAACUCAUAGGAAUGGAAAAAAGAGAGAAAUAGGAAGAUAUGCACAUAUCAAUCUAUAUGAAUUUUUCCAAAAGGUUUGAGUCGAUGAAAAUUCCCCUAUGUUAUCUUUUUACAACUUGGAGGGAAAGAAAUUUUAUUUUGAUUUUUCUAUACCUCAUCCCUACAAAUCUAAUGACAUUUGUAGAAAUUAAUUCUUAGGAAUCCAAAUUAUUUAUUUUUCCUUUAAACCCAAUAAGCCCUGAAUUUGUACGGAGCUGAACUGAGCUCCUGUGUUCCAUCAAUCGGGUUUAUGCUGUCGCACCGGAGUACCGGACACGCACAUUCUUCAGAUCAAAGCCUCCUCAAACUUUCCAAGAUUCUUCUUGUUUUCCCUUAAAAUAAAAAACCUUUCCAAGAUUCUCGGUGACGAAAGACGGUUCAAUCUUGAUAAAGCUUCCGUUCGACCAUCACACACAGCCUAACUGAAACUGUAGGUCUGUAGCUACCGUCCUGAUGCCCUUUCCUUUCCUCGUAUGGUAAGUUUUCCACAAGCUUUUCACGCAUUGGAUUCAUAAUUCCAGUGUAAUCCGGUUUUGUUCCGUGAAAUCCAAACUUUUCGGACCAGGUCGAAAACACGAAUCACUCGGUUUUUUUAGGCUAAGUUCAAAAAAAAUCAAACUAGAUUUUAAAUCUCCAACGGAAUUUUUCUGUAUUUUAUCGGUUUUUUCGACGGGUUUCGUAAAAUCCGAUGAUAUCGCUCGUGAACGGAUUUCGAUCCGGUAUCAAGAAUGUGAACUUCGGCGUCAUGAUCGGUCCGGCGUUCAGCUCACUGGCCACCGCCGUCGACGCGACUCCAUGGCCGCGCCAUGGGCGAUGAUGCUUUCCUCUUCUCCCUCUCUAUUUUUAGGCUUUGGAAGGCAAAGUGUGUGCAAAGUUGAGGUUGAUCCGGGCGUGACGUGCGUGCCAUGGCAUGACCAAAAACCACAUCCAGUCACGUGGCUCAAAAUGCACGGUUUUUUGCAGGCAGCAUGUGAGCGUGUCUGCCGGCGCUCUUUUGCUGUGUCCAAAUCCUAACGACACAGCCACCCGCGCUCGUGUGCAAACUUAGUUUUUGAUUCCUCCCCAAAGUUUGUUGCCUUAGCUACAAUAAUAAAUAUCCAGAAAGCACGAAUUAUGUUCUACCAAUACCAUUACCAAUAUCUACUACGGAUAUUGGUAAUAACACCCUUGAAUAUUAAUAAGCUACUUUUUUCGUUUCAGAUUAUAAGUUGUUUCGACUUUCAUCAAAGUUAAAUUAUUUCAAGUUUGAUUAAGUUUAUAUUUUUAACCCAAAACAAAUAUAUUAUAAAAAUACAUUCAAUUAUUAAUUUAAUAAAAUUAAUUGUUAUGAUAAAUAUUAUUAUAUUUAUCUACCAACUCAGUUAAACUCGAAAUAGUUUGAUUUUGACCAAAGUGAAAAACGACUUACAAUCUAAAAUAGAUGGAAUAUUAGUCCUUUAUGAUUUUUCUACUAAGUAGCUCGGUGGUCUCUACUGGUAGAGCUGAUCACUGUACUAUUUUCCAAAAGUAUAAUAGUACUCCCUCCGUUUCAAAAUGUUUGACACCAUUGACUUUUUAGUAUGUGUUUGACCAUUCGUCUUAUUCAAAAAAUUUAAGUAAUUAUUUAUUCUUUUUAUAUUAUUUGAUUUAUUGUUAAAUAUACUUUCAUGUACACAUAUAAUUUUACAUAUUUAACAAAUUUUUUUAAUAAGACGAACGGUCAAAUAUGUGCUAAAAAGUCAACGGUGUCAAAUAUUUUAAAACGGAGGGAGUAUUUUUUUUAGAAGCUAGAGUCCAAGCGUUUAAGGCUCUCGCCGAGCAGUCCAUCUCCCACUUGUGCGGUGUGUUGACGAAAUUCACUGACAGGGGAGCAUGGGGUGUGUGCUUAUAUAAACACGGACACUCGAUUUAGCUAAUAGCUAGCUGGAGCUCGAUCCUGAAGAGCAGUAUCAGUGCUCAGCUCACUGUUCAUCAUCACCCUCACCUCUUCUCUCUCCCUCCCUUACCUUCCUCCAUAGACGACUGCAGCUAGCUCGAUCGGAGAUCGAGGCCAUGUCCAUGGCGGCGGAGAGGGUGGAGGCUGCCGGCGGCGGCGACGACGACUACACGCAGGACGGCACGGUGGACCUCCAUGGCAACCCGGUGCUCCGGUCCAAGCGCGGUGGCUGGAAGGCAUGCGGCUUCGUCGUCGGUAAGGAUUGAAGACGAUGAACUCUCUCUCGUGCAUCCGGUUGGAUUCAGCAUAUAUGCAUGCAGUGAUCUAAUUAAUCCUUUCAGCUUGAUUAAUCUGUCAUGAACAAUUCAUGGCAGGGUUUCUCCUUUCUUUCAUGGGUUGGCAUAUGGUUUAAUUACUUGCAAAUUGAUUGAUAUUCUUGGUUAGAAACUAGACAUAUCGAGGCUUGUGUUUGAUUUGUUUAUAUGCCACGAGCGUUUGAACAUUUUCCUCAUCUGCUCACCCCUCACCGCAUGCGGCGGGUGCAGGAUUUGGGAGAUUUGUUUUGAUAGGAUCGAUGAUUGUUUGUUAUUUUGUCCGGCCAAUCGCCAUGGUUUUCAUUAGCUGCCAUUUUGUACUCCUGCCAUAGUCUUUGGUACUACUAUUUUUAUAAUCUCCCUACCUCGUGUCUCAGACAAAAUAUCCUCCUUGGUAUUAUAACCUCUACGGUAUCUCUCAAGGACGUAAGAGUAGAGUACUUCGUCAUGCCUGAUAACCUUUUUUCACGAAUACGCAAAAGGUUUGUGUUUCUUUGUUCCAAGAAGGUAGAGACCACCAUGUGCAAUACUAGUUGUUAACUGGUCGCUUGAUCGCAUCGUUUUCUGUGAAGUCAGAGUCAACAUAUCACAGUGUAUCUGCUCAAAGUCUCUCACAUGGAUAGUAACAUGUGCUACAGUAUUUCUGUACUUGCGCCACUUUCCUGUAGAAAUGGUUCUUCAGUGAUUGUGUAUACAUGUACUGUACUGACUAAUCAGUCAGAGCAUACGGUUCAAGUGGUCAACGCUGACAAGAAGCAGGACAAAAUCAAAAACACUAUAGUACAAGGUUUUCCCUACCUCCUUUUCUUUUUUAAGGGCCUAUUCGGAUUGGAGAAAUUUCACGGGAUUUUUGAAGGAACUGAACUGUUGUUACCUGUGAAAAUCUUGUAAAAUCGAAGGAGCCCUAAGAUUUCUCCUACAUCUUCUGAAUUUCUGAUAGAUAACAAUACAAGUACAUGGUGUGCCAAUCACUGAAGACUGAAGAUGAUAUGUAUGGGCAGUGUGUAGCUAGCACAGUAGGAAAAUGUCAAAAAGUUCAGUAUGUUCAGGACCACUGAAUUUAUCCUACUAGGAACAGGCGUGCAUGAUUUUCUGAAUUUCUGAUAGAUACACCAGCGGUGGCUAUGAACUGAAGAAGCUGGAUAGAAACUUCACUGUUGCAAUAUGCAGUGCUAAUUUAAUACAGUACUACUUCUAAUCCUCCCAAACUUUGGAGUGAUCUUUUCAUAGAUUAGGAAAAGGUGUAGUUAACCAACUUGAACAUGGACUGCCGUUUUGUCUGAAGUGUUGGUUCGAUUCAGACCCAGCUGAAAAACAAUUUAAGGCAGGAGUGAGUUAGUUUGGAUUCCUACGGUUAAUUACUAGCAGUUGAUCCAAUAACAGUUUGCGUCAUCAGAGAUGCAAUUUAGACUGAAUCUGACAGGGAAAAAGCCUAAGAAAUUGUUUGGUGAUGGCUGCCCUGUCCUGUCUGCUUGGAGCGACAAAUAGGAGUUGGAAAUUGACCUUUGUGUUAAUCAACGGUUUAGGGUAGGGACCCAGCUGAUCCCUACUAUAUGAUUGCUUGGAAAGAGGCGUUUUGUUCCAGCCCGGUUGGAAUCUGUAUCUCAUCGCAUUAUUUGUUCAUGACAAGAAAGAAUGAUUAUGUUAGUGGCUGUCACCUUCCAAUGAUCACAACACUUAUUAGCUCGUUGUAAAUGUGCUAUCUUCUCUGUCAUAGAGGAUUCUUGUUUUACUUUGACAAAUAACAAAAGAAGUACAUGUUCAUUGAAACUGGUUUGCAUGAACAACUUGUCCAAACUGCAAAAUGUUUUUUUUCUAAAUAAAAGAGAAGAGUUAAAACAUAGGAUGCUCUGUUGCAUGGUUGUGUGGUGGUUAUGGUUUGGUUAGAAAUGCAGAGACCAUGAGUCCUGUGGCUCAUGAGAGAGAAUGGUACCUCGGUAAAAAAUGGUUGGUUGAUCUCCAUGCAUAUAUUUUCCCAACCAUACAUAAAUCUGGUCCUUAAUUAGUUAACUAAGGUUGUGUUUUUCCCCUUUUCCCCCCAACAGCCCAACUUACCUUCCUCUUUUUUCCCACGCACGUUUUUCAAACGGCUAAACGAUAUAUUUUUUAAAAAAGUUUUCUAUAGGAAAGUUGCUUUAAAAAAAUCAUAUUAACCUAUUUUUCUAAAACAAUAACUAAUACUUAAUUAAUUAUACACCAAUAAGUCAUUCUGUUCUACGUGCACGAGGGAUUAGUCCCAACGGCCACUGCCAAACACAGCCUAAGAAUUCAUGUGUUCCAAACAGAAUGUACUGUUACUACUGUAUACCAUGUUUUAAAGUGAAUUAUUGUUGUGCUGAUAAUGAAAAAAAAUGCAGUGUACGAGGUGUUCGAGAGAAUGGCGUACUACGGGAUAUCGUCGAACCUGGUGCUGUACCUGACGACGAAGCUGCACCAGGGGACUGUGUCGUCGGCGAACAACGUCACCAACUGGGUUGGCACCAUCUGGAUGACCCCGAUCCUCGGCGCCUACAUCGCCGACGCGCACCUUGGCCGCUACCGCACCUUCAUGAUCGCCUCCCUCAUCUACCUCAUCGUAAGUCCCUCACCUACUCCAUCUCCCUCCAUCUACAGCAGAGCACGAGAAUCUUGGAACAGAUCAAAUGAACUAUACCCUCUGUGCUAAAAUAUAAACAUUUUUAGCAUCGUGGCAAGUCAUACAUUUCUAACUUUGAUGAUUAUUAAUAGCAAAAAAUUGAUGAUUAAUAGCAAAAAAAAUAUAAAAAAUCAAUCAUGUAAAAUUGAUCUUACCAUUAAACAAACUAUUAUAAUAUAUGUAACUAUUUUUAUUUAAAACAUCUUACUUUUAUAUAUAUUGUUGGUCAAAUAGCAUCUCGGAUACUGUGACAGGAUCUAAAAUUACUUAUAUUUUUUAGGACGCGGGGAGUAGAAAUCAAAAGCUAGAAAAUAAAUUAGAAACCAGAACUUAAAAAAUCUAUUGGACUUUUAGAUUUUCAAAAGUUAGUUACCCACCAGCUGCUUGGAUUGCUCUCGUGUUGAAAAAUGCAGUCCCUGUCUGAAGACUGUACGACCAUCUAGCUGCUCUAGCCCACAAAAAUCAAGAUGGGCUUUAGCUCGAAGCCCACAAAGUCCAGUGAAAAAACAAAUUGCAAGCCCAAAUCCAGCACGACUAAUUCAAACCAAAUCUGUAGAUUUUUGUUACCAAAUUUGAUCGAUAGAUUCCGAAUUUUUGAACGUCGCUCGUCUCGUCUCGUCUCGUGCAGGGGAUGAGCCUGCUGACGCUGGCGGUGUCGGUGCCGUCGCUGAAGCCGCCCAAGUGCGGCGCCGGCACGGCGGACCCGGGCUGCUCGGAGAAGGCGUCGAGCCUCCAGCUGGGCGUCUUCUUCCUCGCGCUCUACAUCCUCGCCGUCGGCACCGGCGGCACCAAGCCCAACAUCUCCACCAUCGGCGCCGACCAGUUCGACGACCACCACCCGCGGGAGCGCCGCCAUAAGCUCUCCUUCUUCAACUGGUGGAUGUUCAGCAUCUUCUUCGGCACCCUCUUCGCCAACACCGUCCUCGUCUACCUCCAGGACAACGUCGGCUGGACCGUCGGCUACGCGCUCCCCACCCUCGGCCUCGCCGUCUCCAUCGCCAUCUUCACCGCCGGCACGCCGUUCUACCGCCACAAG
rnacentral:lncRNA from 1 species